UAGGGAAUCUUCGGCAAUGGGGGCAACCCUGACCGAGCAACGCCGCGUGAGUGAAGAAGGUUUUCGGAUCGUAAAGCUCUGUUGUAAGAGAAGAACGUGUGUGAGAGUGGAAAGUUCACACAGUGACGGUAACUUACCAGAAAGGGACGGCUAACUACGUGCCAGCAGCCGCGGUAAUACGUAGGUCCCGAGCGCUGUCCGGAUUUAUUGGGCGUAAAGCGAGCGCAGGCGGUUUAAUAAGUCUGAAGUUAAAGGCAGUGGCUUAACCAUUGUUCGCUUUGGAAACUGUUAAACUUGAGUGCAGAAGGGGAGAGUAGAAUUCCAUGUGUAGCGGUGAAAUGCGUAGAUAUAUGGAGGAACACCGGUGGCGAAAGCGGCUCUCUGGUCUGUAACUGACGCUGAGGCUCGAAAGCGUGGGGAGCAAACAGG
rnacentral:rRNA from 1 species